GGAUCAAUAUGUUGGUCGUGCCUUGGUACGUACUAAUUUAUUAGUUUCUUCCUUCUGACGAACCAUGAUGUCAUUAAUUUGGUGUCGUGGAGAAUCAGGACUUUUACUUUGAAAAAAUUAGAGUGUUUAAAGCAGGCAUUAGCUUGAAUACAUUAGCAUGGAAUAAUGAAAUAGGACGUUUGAUCCUAUUUUGUUGGUUUCUAGGAUUGACGUA
rnacentral:rRNA from 1 species